GAUGAACGCUGGCGGCGUGCCUAAUACAUGCAAGUCGAGCGAACAGAUGAGGAGCUUGCUCCUCUGACGUUAGCGGCGGACGGGUGAGUAACACGUGGAUAACCUACCUAUAAGACUGGGAUAACUUCGGGAAACCGGAGCUAAUACCGGAUAAUAUAUUUAACCGCAUGGUUCAAUAGUGAAAGACGGUUUUGCUGUCACUUAUAGAUGGAUCCGCGCCGCAUUAGCUAGUUGGUAAGGUAACGGCUUACCAAGGCAACGAUGCGUAGCCGACCUGAGAGGUGGAUGGGAACAGCAGGAAGCGAAAAACGGGCCAGACUCCUAGGGGAGGAAGCAGCAGGGAAUCUUCCGCAAAGGGAGAAAGCGUGAGGGAGAAAAGCCGGGGGGGGGAAGAGGGUUUUCGGAUCGUAAAAUCUUGUUAUUAGGGAAAAAAAAAUGUGUAAGUAACUAUGCCCGUCUUGACGGUACUUAAAAAGAAAACACCGGCUAAUUAGGU
rnacentral:rRNA from 1 species